rnacentral:snRNA from 1 species
GUGCUUGCUUCAGCAGCACAUAUACUAAAAUUGGAAAGAUACAGAGCAGAUUAGCAUGGUCCCUGAGCAAGGACGACACUCAAAUUCAUGAAGCAUUCCACUUUUUU